CAAGGCCAGGGCACUAGCAUGUGACGGACGCUCGGCGAAGGCGCGCCCGGCAGGCGUGGACCUCUACCUGCUCUUUCGCGAAGCCCCUCCGCACCUGCCGGGUUUGGGAGACGUCUCUAUGCAAAUGACCCCCAGCCCCACCCCAGGCACAGGAGGACCCCCCACCACUUAGCCCGUGGAGGUGGGAGGUGAGAGCGAGUGGUUUAAGUGCCUGAUUUCCACCGCCCGCCCCCCUCCCCUGUGUCCAGCUGGGAUGUGAGUGGCCGUGGGCCUCCCCUCUCCCUCCUUUCCCGCAACCUGGCCCCUUCCAGUCACUGACCCCUCAUUGCUAUGCCCCCAUCAGAGCUAGAGAGAUGGAACCUCCGCCUCCAACAGGCCCAGGGGGCAGAGCUGGGCCUCCUCCCGGCACCCUGCCCUGCUGGGGCACGGGGCCUGGGGUCUCAAGAAGCUGGUGUGCCCCCUCCGCCCCCAUGCCUCCUCUGCCAGUGCCUUACAUCCUGGAGCGACAGCCCCUCCCUGGUGCCUCCCGGCCCAAAGGGGGACCACGGUUUGCACUUUCAUCCCCCACCCCCUGCCGAAGUGGGGCACAGCCAGGAGGCGUUGCCGCUGGGUGGCCAGAAGGAGAGGGGCCAGGCCGCCUGUGGUCCAGAACGGCCGGGGGCUCUGGCUGGGGGCGGGGAGGUUGGCGCCUUGGGGCUCCCUGCUACCAUGUAGGGGGGCCUCCCAUCUGCUAAACAUUUUCCGUUGAGCCGCUCCAAAAACACUAAACCUGGGGGCAUGGGGUGCCCCUUCACCCCCGCUCCCCGGCCCCGUCCACGCCUCCUCCCCGGGAUAGCCGUCUCGGGAAGAGGGGCCUGGGAAGGGUGUUAGGUGUUCUGGGAUCACCAGCCCAAACACAAAGCCGCCUUCCGGCCGUCUGUCUGAAUCCCAGCUGGUCUCCACGCCUGGUGCUGGGGAAUGCCGACCCCCAUCCCCGGCCUAGGCCAAAGCCAUGGCCCUGGGAGGGCCUCCGCCCACUGCUCCCAGCCUGACCCGCCUCUCCCUCUCCUGGUAAACCCCUGGUGCCCCGGGCCUGGCCAGCCUCCUCCCACCUCCCCAGACACCGGACUUUCAUCCCAAACUAGCCCGAGGGGCCUGGCGAACCCACCCGAUCAUAAAGAGAAAGAUACCCCCCACACACAAGACCCUUCCCCUCCAGCUGCACUCCCACUGUCCGGAGGGGUUCGAGAACCCUUGGUCCGUCCGUCUGUCCCCAGGCCCCCUCCAGCAGGUGGCCGUUGGGGACCAAAGCAUGGGCCGCUCUGGGGGAGGGCAGGAGGGGUGGGUUGUGCAGUUUGGGGUAUCCAGAAGCUUGUCAGCCGGGAACCUGAGGGUGCGGGUAGGCAGGGAAGGGGAAGGGGCACCCGGCAGCCCCCAGCUUCCUAACUUUGCAUGGUGCUUAGUCGAGGAUUUCUGUGACCUGGCUCCUGACUUCAGCUCGAGGCGGCUGAAACUGCAUGGCAAUUGAUACUGGCUCUAUCUCCCUCCCCACGCCACCCCCAACUCCAGCCCUCCACCACCACCCUCCUUCUCUUUAAAAGAAAACAAAAAAAAAGAUACAGAAAAAAAAAAACCCUUAAAAAAAUUCCAUGUUUCCUAAUUUGCACGAAAUUUUCUAUCACAUGAUGUGCCUUGCCUUCCAAGAAUAAGUAUUACCUUUAAACAAUAUCAGCGCACACAGAUAGCUGCAUGCACUGCUCGUGUAGUUUAAAAGGAAAAAAAUGACAAAACAAUGACAUGAAAUAAAAAGUAAAAAUUGAAAAGGGAUGUAUUUCUAUUUGUAAAAAAAAAAUUAAGAAUCAAAAAAAAUCACACGCUUAAAAAUCACAUUGCUUAAAAAAAACAAAGCGAUGCCCGCAAUGAUCACCCCACAGCUUGCCCUGCCCCCAGCCUGCCCUGGGCUCUCGUCUCCCCAUCUCCUGCUGCAUGGGGGGUGCCCCCUGGUGCUCUGCAACCCCCCCACCCCUGGCCCCAUCCUCGGGCUCCAGAGGGGUCAUUUCGCAUCCCCUGCCCACAGCAGCGGACAGACCUCAGGGGUGUGCCCUGGCCCCAGGCAAGGGCCUCUCCCCUCACUGGGCCACAGGCCAGCCCCCCCCAGACGCCGUGCAUGCACCUAUGCGUUCUCACCCCCCCACCCUGGGGCGGCCACCCUGCCGACAGCCAGACUCCCCCCGCCUCCUCUCCCACAGGCUGGCAUCCCCCUGGCUCAGGGUCACAUCGCUGUCUCACUACCCCCCUACAGCCCCCUCCUUCUUGCCAAAGGACCCAUCCCCAUAGACUGAUCUUGGGGUAGCAGGAAGGACCCUCUUGCCAACCCCACCCCCACCCCCCCAGUUCUACUAUGUCUUCCAGCUGUGACUGCAGAGGGGGUCUGGUAUGAAACAAAAAAAGACAAAACCAAACCCGAUAUAUGCAAUAUUUGUCUGUCUGUACCUGUAAGGUCUAGCUCAGCCACGGAGGCCCGGCCGAGGGGUUGGGGCCAGGGGGCACCGCGUCAUAGGCCCCGUCCAAGGGGCCGGCCAUUGCUGUUGUCUUCUCUUCGGUUUUAUUUUCUCGUUUCCCUUUUUGCCUUCUUUUUCUUUCUCUCUUUCCUUUUUAAACUUUUCCUCCAAUUUUCUCUGCCUUUAACUCUACCAAAGCCGAGACAGUAGCAGUCAGUGAAGUGUCCAGGCAAGAGACCCCGAGGCCGGGUCCACCAACCUUGGGCCCAUCCCUCCUCGCCAUCUCCGGCCCUCCCGGUCCCUAGGCCCCUCAAACAUCUCCUGUCAGCGUACGCUUGGUGGGCAGUCCCCAUUCGCUCCCCGGCCACCACCUUGGAUGUUAGGAUUGUCUCCAGAGCUGGGUGGGGCCUUGCAGCCAGACCCUGGCUUUCAUCUGCCACUCUGCUCACGCCAUGUUUUCUUCUGAAAAGACACCUCAGCCAGCCCCAGGGUCAGGGGCAGAGACCCGGCCCUGGCCUUGACCCUGCCCUUGAGAACGGCCCUUUGGCCCAAGAGCCCAAGGCCCUGUUUGUCAGUUUCCAUAGGGCCCAUUUCCAGCUUUCAUCCCCCCAGCCACCAGGGAAGUGGGGACAGCCAGUGGCACAGGGGAGUGGGUGGCACGUCCCUAUGGGACCCCUCCUCCAUAGGCUCACCUCGAACCAUGGUGUCCCUCAUGCCUGCACCCCACAGCACCCUGGGCCUCAGAGCCCCUCCCUUCCUUGCCUGCUGUGCGUCAGAAUAAGGCAGAAACACUAGGAAUCAGGCUCCCACCUGCCAAUGCGGUUGGGGUUCACGCCCUGGGAGGGAGGUGGGCAGGGUGUUGGGUGUUUUUGGGUUUUGUUUUUUUUUGACACUUAUGAAACUGACAUCUCAAACCCCAUCCCCUCCCAAGCCCACCGUCACCCCCUCACUCAUAGCCUAUCCCAUGCAGAAUCCCCCAGCCUGACCUUGGGGUCCAGCCCUUGCUGUGGAAAAGACUUAAGGAGACCUCCCCAAUAUAUGCAGAUCACCUCCAUCCCUCUCUCUGGAGGGAGGUAGCAGACCCUGACCAGGGUGGAUGGGGAGGUGUGGAGAGGCAGGCCAACCCCACCCUAUCUGACCUGGGGACGGAGGGUGGGUCCAGGGUCCCCAGUGCCCAGGUCUGGAACCCACGUUCUAGCUGGGUUAUGAGCCCAGAUUCCCACCCUGAGUUAGACAAUCAGACUGGAAGGGAACCCCAAGGGAGGCUGCAGGGAGGGGGCCCUGCUGCAGCUCCCCAAGCAGCAGUUUCAGCCUCAGCACCCCCCACACCCCCAGCUCCGGAACUUUCCCUCUGUCGCCAGAGACAGCAGCAUUCCAGGAGCAAACAGAUUUGGCUGGACAGCUACCGGUGAGGCAGGAUCCCAGGGCCAGGAGCAGCCAUCCAGCCCUCUGUGAGAGACGGGACCCCAGCCACCCACUCCCUCUGGCUUCUCUGAUGGUACUUUGACCUCCAGUGUAGGGCUAUACUAUACAUUAUAUAUAUACAUGUAUAAUUUUGGAAUUUUUUUCUCAUAAUACAGAUUAUCCAGUGGCUACUUUUUAUUUUGGCCUGGAGUCUCUCUCUCUCUCUCUGAGACCC
ensembl:lncRNA